UCCCUGGCAGCGGAAAGAGUAAAAAUAUUGUACCUGGCUUAGAUGCUACCAAGUCAGAAAGAAAGCCCUAUUUAUCCAUUUUAAGUACUUCUGAUUAUUAUUGUUCAUUUGUGUCUUACAUUACUCAUUUGUUUUCAAACCUGUGAUAAAAUUUGAUGCUUCCUCAACUAUUAUAGAUGAUCAGAGCAUGUGAUUAUAAUGAUAAUGCAAUAUGUUUCUUUGUAUAUCAGACAAUAUUCCGCAACCCAAAAGCAAUCAAACCAUAUGCUGUUCCAUCCCCUGAGCACUGCAAUCUACCAGCGGCUGCUAUGCAUACAUCUUCACAUAUGGUUGAGGUUGUUGGUUUGAAUGCACCAGCAGCUCAGGUUGCACAGCACAAGUGGCAACCCAACACACCUGAUGGCCAGGGUACACCAUUUUUCUUUCAACAUGGAAAAGCUACAUCAGGCUCUGUGGGUGGGAAUCUUACACGCACGUUCAAAGGUCCUGCUGGAACUGGCGAAGAGUGGCAAUAUCCCCAAGCAUUGGCUUUUUCUGUUUCUGGAAUUAGAAGCCAAGCUAUUGUUUCUAUAACAUGUGACAAAGAAAUUAUAACUGUAUGUCAGGUAUUGAAGCUUUUUAUUCAGAAUCAGAAGAAACUCACCAUAGCAACAAAAUAAAAAUGCUCCAUCACCAUCAAGUUGCUUCCUGGAUUUGCACACUUUGGAGGUAUUUCAUGUAUUGAAGCUGAAAGAAGGACAAGAUAUCACUGCUCUUGCUCUAUAUAAGGAUAACACAAAUCUUUUGGUUUCAACUUGGGAUAAGCAAUUGAUUAUCUUUACUGAUCCGGCUGUAAGUUAAAUCUCUUGAUAAGGAUCAUUGUUAAAUAGCAACCAUUGCUUACGCCUUACGAGUGAUUACUGUUUUUAAAUAUUCAGUAGUGUGUCCCGGGAGUGAUUUUUUUUCUUUUUCUGAUGCUUGUGAAUUGGCUAAAAGGACAAACUCUGAUAUUUCACUUACAAUCUAGUUUCAUACAAGAAUAAUCACAGUUGCACAUUAUUUGGAGUCUCACAA